CAGGGUGUGGCUGAAUCAGAUAAGCAUCUCACUUACACCGAGAAGAUACUCAUGCAAAUUGGGUCACCCUGA
rnacentral:tRNA from 1 species